rnacentral:rRNA from 1 species
UACGGGGGGGUGCGAGCGUUGUCCGGAAUCACUGGGCGUAAAGGGCGCGUAGGUGGCGUGAUAAGGGUGUGGUGAAAGCCCGGGGCUCAACCCCGGGUCUGCCAUGCCGACUGUCAGGCUAGAGUACUGUAGGGGCAGGCGGAAUUCCGGGUGUAGCGGUGGAAUGCGUAGAGAUCCGGAGGAAGACCGGUGGCGAAGGCGGAUCUCUGGGCCAUUACUGACGCUGAGGAGCGAAAGCGUGGGGAGCGAACAGG